AUCCUGGGCCGCCGAAGCAGAGGGCAUGAACUUUAACCACUAUGCCACUGGGCUGGCCCAGCUGUCACUUUUCUUGACCUCCCUAAGAUCACAUUCCUCUGCAGGUGGACUUGCACAUAAGUAAUGUACAAUAAGAGUGCAUGAGUUGGACAAAAUCCAGACGGCCAAAGCCAGCCUGUGACUUUCGCCGGAGCCGCUUCACCUGCCUGACAUAAACUCCAGCAGAUACAACACAGACGCUGAGGAAAUAGGAGCCCAGCCCAGCAGGGACAAGGCACGGGGGCAGGGUGUGUGUUUCUCAGCUUGCCCAUCCUAAUCUGCGGAAGGGAGUUCCUGGGGCAGGCAGGGGAGGAGCCGGGGGCUGAAUAGACUGCUUGUAUUCCUUUCGCUGGGUACUUCCUGCAGUUUUAUGUUAUCUCCUGCAGUUAAGGGGAGAUGUAGAUAAUCCACAUGUUUGCCUUUUCCUGAUUUUAUACAGUAUCACUUGGCUAAAAAUCUACACCAGCCACAAGGAUACGUUCUGGCUGAAUGUUAGAGACUUUUCUCAUUAUCUUUAAAAACAAAAAACCAAAAACCAGCCUCUCCACUGUUAUGGCACAUAAAGUGAUGCAAAUGCGCAUGCCACUGCAAUAAAAGCCACAGUUAGAGAAUUAAAUGCUCCGGUUUGGGGCCAUAAGUAAGCAGCAUGACUGAGUGGGUCAUUUUCUGGUCUGUUGCAGGCCUCUUCCUCUCUGGGGUGGAAGAUGGCCGGGUGAGCUGUUCCAUCACAGCUGCUCCGGUGGGGCCACGUGGCCCUGAGACCACCUGCGUUUUCAGCCAUCUUUAAAGCUAAGCUCGAUUUGUCUGAGGAGCUGGAAUUUGGUGCCCACUGCAGGGACUUCCCUGAGUCCAGACUGUGCAGCUAAGGUCACAAGGUCGCAUUCCUUCUCGCAAUGUUCAGCCCAGCAAGAAGAUAUUUUUGGUACUUCCAACAAGGACUUGCGUCCUGCCAGGUUCUACAGAGGACGCAGGGGAACCCUGCAAUGCAGCCUCGGCCCUCAAAGAGCUCACACUGGGUGGAAAGCAAGACACACAGAGGCCACACAUUUGCGAACCGGCACUUAUGGAGCUGCUCAUUUGUCCUUACGUAGCUUGAUUAUAACUCUGCACAUGUGUGGAACACAUGGAAACUGAGCCCUCGGUGCCUGGCCUCGAGAGACCAGCCCACUCACUGGCAGAGCUAAUAAGCGCUUUCCAUCCUUCAAAUGCUGAUGGCAUCUGCCAUCUUCACUAUCCAUUCAGCACUGCCAUACAACGCCAUGGGCGAGUAGUUGUUUUUUAAGUUUGUCUCCCAUAGCUCUCACUUGAUUGUGGAAUCGUCAAAUGCUUUAGAGAUGUCAUCUACCAAAACGGGGAAAUUGAGAUAAUCAGAGAAGUAUGUGACUUGCCCAAGGUCACCAGGUUCCCUCUUCAUCCAGGGGCUGGAGAGGCCAGCCCUCAGCUGGAGGGAAGAGCCUCCAGGCCCUGGUACCUUAGUGACCCCUUCAACUGGGCCUCUCCAGCCUCGUGGCCCUUCCCUGCAGACAAGUGAGGGAAACAUCCCUUUGUCCUUCAGGUCCUGUCUCAGGUUGAUCACAAACAGGCAGAUGGAAGUGCUGUGUGUGACAUCAGCACGGAUUUAUGCACCAGGACUCUCUGUGGCAGGAAAGAACAUUCCUGGUUUUAAUAGAUGCCUUCUUGUGUAAAUAUAAAAGGACCAGGAAGCAAUCUGAGAGUCAGUGCCCGGCUUACGGUCACAUAAGGUAUUUCUGCUGGCAGUCUGGGUUGGGCUUCUUCAGGGAAGCAGCUGGGGCCUGGUCCCCUGUUGGUCUUCACUUGGGCCCACCUCAGAGGUGGCCCCAGUCAGGGCCUGUAGGAGGACUCGAGACCCACCCCUGCCACCCACCUCUGUGGCCCUGGCCCUGUCAACCUGAAUGGCUAGUCUUCAUCUCGAGGUGGCACUGACAGCAGCUGCCCCCGCAGCCUUCUGGGAUGUUGCAAGGGUCACAUACCAGGACAGAGGCUUGAGCUCCGGGUAAAGGAGAAGGAUCCUGCGUCUGCUAAAGCAGCAGCAACACCGUGGAGCCCGCGUCUGAAGUUAGAGCAUUCGAUUAAGGUGAAGCAAGAAAUUAAACUGGGCUUCUCAAGGAGGGUGAAAAACCAGCACCAGAAAUGGGAGAUCACAGGAGAACACGAGCAGGUAAGCUGUUUGCAAAUACUGUGGCUGCUUUCAGUCUCUGUUGCUGCUGCAAGUGCAUCGACCACCCCACGCCCAGGCACACCCCCGCACAGAUCUGCUUUUGCUUUCUCUUGGUUUCUCAGGAAAGAAAAAUCCCCCAGGAUCCUCCUUUUCUGUCUGCCUGACAAACCUAAUAGGAAACCUACAUUAAUCUGUAAGUGAGGGUAAUGGUUUUUCUGCUGUUUCAUACGUGCAACGUCAAAUUCAGGGGUCCUGAGGAAAGAGGAGCCCUGGAAGAACAAGAUUCCCCUCUGCGGGGCCAGGUGACCUGCGUGCUCCAGGCUGGAGGAGGCGCACAGGAGCUGUCCCUUCCCCAAGGAAACAGCCUGUUCCUCUGCCUCGCCCUUCUCUACUUACAGACUCUAGGAGAGGAGGCAGGACCUCUGGAAACAAGACCCAGGACUCAGAUUUCCACCCUUGUCUGAGGUGGGAAGGGCAGGUUCAGACAUUCCGGCCAGAGGUUGGUUUUCCACGCAGAAUCUGGGGACACAUGCUGAGCACAUAAGCGGAGGCCGUGGGGUUUCAUAGGCUCAGAUAUACUGUGACGCCAGGUCUCUGAUGCGCCAAAAAGGACACAAAGCCGUCUGACUCAGUGUUGCUUCUAGAAAGUCACCAGUGAGCAUUUCCCUCCCUUGAGUCAGCUCAGGAGCCAGGGAUGUGGCUCUGCCAGGCCCCGGGUGGAGCGGUGUCAGCUCCCUGCGGAGCCUUCCUCACUCAGGGUGGCUGCUCUGGCGACGCCGGAGCUCCCGGCUCUGAGGUGAGAGACCUGCUUGCCCCUGGUUUUGAGUCACCACUUAGGGAGAGGGGACAACAAUGUGAAGUUUCAUCCCAAACCCCAAACGCCCAUUCUGUACCUAAUUUUUCAGAAACCGGGGUUUCCAUGGCCAUGUCCUCAGUACCAGUAACAGCCGGGACACGUGGGGGCAGGGGGGCCAUGGGGUUCGGGGGGCAGUGAAGUGUGGGGCUUCUGCCCAGCCGGGAUGGGCAAGGAGACUGGCAGUGCUCUGCCUGGGGAACCUCCCCAAAGAGGUCAAUGACUUCCUGCCAGUGGAGCCUCAGGCCUCCUGGGAAAGGCAGCGAGCCUGGGACGAAGGCAGCAGGCGCAGGAACCGAGGCUGCUGGGACCCAUGUCCUGCUUGCCAACUUUUCCCUCCACGACCUGGAGCUGUUUCCUUCCUGGCACCUCCGCUUCUAUCCCUGGACAUGAGAGGCGAUCACACAGGCUCUUGAAAGGCAGAGGAGGCCCCUUUCCGCGGGCCGGUUGUGGUCCGCGUGAAGCUAACAAUCGGCUGGUUUGUUCUACGCAGGCCUUGUUAGAACAGCCUCUGCUUUGGCCUUUCCGUCUUCCAACGGAAUGGGCCAGGAAACAGCCAAGUCAGCCCCUGCCGUGGCAGCUUCUAGAACCAGAAGAGGCCUUUCUGAGAAUCUUGCUGAACCCUAAGGAUGAGGAGUGUCAGAUUCUGCAGUGGGGGAAGCUGGCAACCCAGCCUCCACUUCUAAGUAAGCUUUGCCUCGGACACCCGCCAGCUAUCUGCCUGGAGACUUGCCUUUGAUCACGACUUGUCACCUCCCAGGAGGUGUUCCACUUUCCAAGCAGGUGAAAAACGAACCCGAUUAAAAAUAGUAGACUGAACUCUUCACAGAGUCCUCUUAUAAAGCGAAACUACCGGUGCUUCUCCAAGUGGCAAAAAGGACGGCCUAGUCCCUCGGGUUCCAGGACUCCGUGAGCCAGUCAGGCUCCCGCUGUGCCGAAAACCCCAGAGUGCUCCUCUGCUGCACCCCAGAACCCCAGCACAGCCUGGAACCCCGGGACCAUCACUUGGCUGUGCUCCAGCAGCCAGCAGAGCCCUUUGGCCAUGGCCACGGGCCAGCCCUUGCUCACUGGUUCACCUUGGUGACCAGGGGCUGAUGUGACCGUCCACGCCCUCUCCCCUCCUUCCUGCUCCCUUUAGGGCUUUAUGGACUGGGAGUUUCUGGAGCUUUCUCAAAACCGUGGACUCAUUCCCAGUGGAAAUCAUGACAUUUUCCGUUUCACAUUACGCACUCCACAAUGCCUCAGGAAAACAGAGAGAGAGGGAGAGAGAAGGAAAACAAGGCCUGGGAGCCAGCCCCCUCUCUCCGUAAACAGCUCGGGCCAGGCCAUGUCUCUGCCACGGUCCUCUCUGUUUAUCCUGGAGUCACCUCCCCGAGCUUGACAGCUAGAGCUCCAGCGUUUUCUUCUUUAGUCAACGGCCUGAUGAAUAGGUUAACUGCCUUUUCUCUCUGCUCAUGUGGCACAUCUGGAUAAAGGCGUGCCUCUCUG